rnacentral:rRNA from 1 species
GACGAACGCUGGCGGCGUGCUUAACACACGCGAGUCGAACGGAAAGGCCCUGCUUUUGUGGGGUGCUCGAGUGGCGAACGGGUGAGUAACACGUGAGUAACCUGCCCUUGACUUUGGGAUAACUUCAGGAAACUGGGGCUAAUACCGGAUAGGAGCUCCUGCUGCAUGGUGGGGGUUGGAAAGUUUCGGCGGUUGGGGAUGGACUCGCGGCUUAUCAGCUUGUUGGUGGGGUAGUGGCUUACCAAGGCUUUGACGGGUAGCCGGCCUGAGAGGGUGACCGGCCACAUUGGGACUGAGAUACGGCCCAGACUCCUACGGGAGGCAGCAGUGGGGAAUAUUGCACAAUGGGCGGAAGCCUGAUGCAGCAACGCCGCGUGCGGGAUGACGGCCUUCGGGUUGUAAACCGCUUUCGCCUGUGACGAAGCGUGAGUGACGGUAAUGGGUAAAGAAGCACCGGCUAACUACGUG